rnacentral:rRNA from 1 species
CCUACGGGAGGCAGCAGUGGGGAAUAUUGGACAAUGGGGGAAACCCUGAUCCAGCGACGCCGCGUGAGUGAAGAAGUAUUUCGGUACGUAAAGCUCUAUCAGCAGGAAAGAAAAUGACGGUACCUGACUAAGAAGCCCCGGCUAACUACGUGCCAGCAGCCGCGGUAAUACGUAGGGGGCAAGCGUUAUCCGGAUUUACUGGGUGUAAAGGGAGCGUAGACGGCAGCGCAAGUCUGGAGUGAAAUGCCGGGGGCCAACCCCGGAACUGCUCUGGAAACUGUGAAGCUGGAGUGCAGGAGAGGUAAGCGGAAUUCCGGGUGUAGCGGUGAAAUGCGUAGAUAUCAGGAGGAACACCGGCGGCGAAGGCGGCUUACUGGACUGUAACUGACGUUGAGGCUCGAAGGCGUGGGGAGCAAACAGGAUUAGAUACCCCGGUAGUC